rnacentral:rRNA from 1 species
GAUGAACGCUGGCGGCGUGCUUAACACAUGCAAGUCGAACGUGAGAAUAGCAAUAUUUGAAAGUGGCAAACGGGUGAGUAACACGUGGGAACCUGCCUCGAAGUGGGGGAUAACGAUUGGGAACGAUCGCUAAUACCGCACGGUUCUGCUCUGAUGGGAAUGGAGCAGAUAAAGAUUUAUCGCUUUGAGAGGGGCCCGCGGCCGAUUAGCUAGUUGGUAAGGUAAAGGCUUACCAAGGCGAUUAUCGGUAGCUGGUCUGAGAGGACGAUCAGCCACACGGGAACUGAGACACGGUCCCGACUCCUACGGGGGGCAGCAGUGAGGAAUAUUGGGCAAUGGGCGAAAGCCUGACCCAGCAACGCCGCGUGGAGGAUGAAGGCUUUAGGGUUGUAAACUCCUUUUGUGGGGAAAGGAAUGGAUGGUACCCCAAGAAUAAGUCACGGCUAACUACGUGCCAGCAGCCGCGGUAAGGUGCGCGAGU